AGAGUUUGAUCCUGGCUCAGGAUGAACGCUAGCGGGGAGCCUAACACAUGCAAGCCGAGCGGUAUUGUUUCUUCGGAAAUGAGAGAGCGGCGUACGGGUGCGGAACACGUGUGCAACCUACCUUUAUCUGGAGGAUAGCCUUUCGAAAGGAAGAUUAAUACUCCAUAAUAUAUUGACUGGCAUCAGUUGAUAUUGAAAGCUCCGGCGGAUAAAGAUGGGCACGCGCAAGAUUAGCUAGUUGGUGAGGUAACGGCUCACCAAGGCGAUGAUCUUUAGGGGCCUGAGAGGGUGAUCCCCCACACUGGUACUGAGACACGGACCAGACUCCUACGGGAGGCAGCAGUGAGGAAUAUUGGUCAAUGGGUGCAAGCCUGAACCAGCCAUCCCGCGUGAAGGACGACUGCCCUAUGGGUUGUAAACUUCUUUUGUAUAGGGAUAAACCUACUCUCGUGAGGGUAGCUGAAGGUACUAUACGAAUAAGCACCGGCUAACUCCGUG
rnacentral:rRNA from 1 species